CAACACCAACACCAACAGCAAAUUCAACACCUAUUGCUACAACACCUGUGAACACUACAACACCCACAAUGCCACCAACAAAUUCAACAACACCACCAUUACCACCACCAACAACAACAAC